CAUUGUAAGUCUUUGGAUCUCACAGGCAAUCAAGGUCCCUGGGCACUUUAACAAAAAAUAACUAAUACUAUUAAAAGCGUCACUUUAAGUUCACAAGAAUUUUCUUACACACAGAUAUUUAAGGAAUUCUGAAACAAUGUCAACAGAUUUGGGUGCCCAAAGGAGAGAGAGAAUAAACUUGAACAUUCUGACUUUGAAGUGCUUGAACAUGAAAGACAGAGAAUUGACCAGAAGCAAGCGUCCUUAGAGUGGGGUCGUCAUAUUUGAGAAAUGUGCUACAGGGAUCUAGCACACUGCAUUGCCUCACAGCUAAAUUCCCACUGGAUUGUUGGUCUGAAUCACCGAUUGAAAAAUCAAAUGUCUUCAGGGACCCGGCAGGAUCCCGAAGGACGCCGCUCUAAGCCAGAGGGAGCGGUGUGUGUUGUGGCUGAAGUGGAAAAUACAAGCCCAGUUUAAGGGCAUUCAAACA
ensembl:lncRNA LINC01483 long intergenic non-protein coding RNA 1483